CACGGAACAUGGAGCACAGAACACGGAACAUGGAACAUAGAACACGGAACAUGGAGCAUGGAACAUGGAGCAUGGAAUUUGGAACACGGACAUGGAACAUGGAGAAAUCCUGAUGUCACCUGUCUAUGUUUACAGUGAAGGUAUCUAGAAUAUAGAAAUGGGCCUUUAAAGUAAACGUGUGUGUGGACGGUGUAUUUGUAUUGAUGGAGCUCAUCCACUUCACAUGGUGCAUAAAACACUUUGCUGUACCGUUUCUUUUUCUAUGACCCUUUCAUCUUGAUCUUGAAAGCAAAGGCUUUAAAGAAUCAAUAAAGAACGAUUUUUGAGUUUUGUCCCAAUGGAAACCAAAAAUUCGGCUCAGGCCGCCAAGGCCAGUCAAGUCGGAAAUGUUUAAACUCUUGAAUCCAAAUUUUUAAACAUCCCUUUCGAGCCCUCUUGUCUCGACGGUCCGAACGGUCCGGUCGACGGAGGGGUGCCCCAAAGUCGAUACCCCCCCCUUGUUGACGUGCAGCACAGAAGAGCUCCGGUACGGUAGUUACUCGAGAUACCUUUACUGGCAAGACUCAAGUGCAGAUGAUGCUCGGAGGGACCUGGAGCAAAUCACCAUGGCAAUAUUUGUUGUCUUUCGGAAAGAGGGGAAAGGACUGCAGGAGCCACCUGAAGACAUUAGCAUCGUCAUUGAGGGUGUGGAGGUGUUGCAUCAACUGUCAAAAGCUGUCCGUUUCAGCUUGUGCCCUGCUUCUGGGAUUGAUACUCAACCUCUCUUACCCAAAACCACUUCAUUUCACUUUUAAAGUGCUCCAGAAGAUAAUCAUGGAGCUUGAUCAGCAGAAGAUGUCCCCCAAGGUCCAUAAUCUGUAUGGCAGACUUCAAACACAAUAGUGUUUCGAUAUGGGGCAUUUCACUAUUCAGCCCCUUUGGAUGUUGGGCCUUUGUUAGCUCCAAGAUAAAAAUGUUAAGAUACAAUGUUGUUUUAUAUAUAUUAUCACUUGAUUGUAUACAAAUGCUUCUAUCAUACAUAUGAUUUUUGGGGAAAAAGUUCAAUUUCUGUCAGGUGUUCCCAAACAUUGUUACAUAUCAGAAGGCCAAAUGUGACUUGGCAUGGUUAUGCAUUUUGUGCAUAUUUAUGUUAAAAAAAACACUGGAAACAAAUACAAGCAAUACAUUUUGAAAGCCAUCAAAUUUGACUCUGUCAUUUUUCUUUUAGCCAACUUAAAAUUGGCCAAAAGUACAAUUUUACACCAAGGAUACUACAAAAAUUAGCUUUUAUGAAACCAUACUUUUAGGUUGUAAAGACGCAGUAUUUUACUUUUGGGUAAAGUAAAUAUUUGAGUUGGAAAAACUGUAAACUUUAGGUUGACUUGUUUUGAUUUUGAGUUAAAGUAAUGCAAAAUAUUGAUUU
ensembl:lncRNA